GCGGGAAUAGCUCAGUGGUAGAGCACAACCUUGCCAAGGUUGGGGUCGGGUCGCG
rnacentral:tRNA from 1 species